rnacentral:lncRNA from 1 species
ACAGUUCGAGAUAGUACAACGGCAAACGCAGGAGGAACGAUGUGCUAACAAAUUAGGCCACCAUUUUGCUAUGCCAAGAGACAGCUAGACAGAUCGAGAUAUAUAGUACAACGCCUCAGUCAGGGGUCGAGAGUAUACAGCACAUUAUAGAACAGUGGCGAGUACACAGCACACAGUCGGACAUGGUAUACCUUGCACAAACCAAAACAGAAAUUAACAAUACCACGAAAACAUCUGAUACCUAGCUCCUUGACCAAAGAGCCUUUUAUCCUCCCAAAAACAUCCCCACAUCCGACAGACACGACUAUAGUUCAUCGCUGUAAUGG